ACCUUCGUCUCCCCGCGGACUCUGAGAGUCCGAUUGGGGUUGAGCCCUGGCCGGCUCUUGAGCCGGCGCAGGGAGUCCCGUCCCUUAUACCCUUUGUUUACCUUACCUCUGUUGCUUUGGCAAGGCCCCUGCCUGGGUGGUUCCAGGCUAGGGCUCUGCCAGAGGGCCCCAACUCGUGGAUAGUUUAUAGUAGUCCGAGUAUGAUAUCAAUCAUUUA
rnacentral:misc_RNA from 1 species